rnacentral:ncRNA from 2 species
CCUGUCGGGACCCGAAAGAUGGUGAA